ACCCUACUGGUGUAUCGGUUAACAUGGCGGAUUCUCAUUCUUUGCGAUGAAGUUUCCGCAGCGCAGGGUUCAACUCCCUGGUGGGGUA